AGGGAAUCUUCGGCAAUGGACGGAAGUCUGACCGAGCAACGCCGCGUGAGUGAAGAAGGUUUUCGGAUCGUAAAGCUCUGUUGUAAGAGAAGAACGAGUGUGAGAGUGGAAAGUUCACACUGUGACGGUAUCUUACCAGAAAGGGACGGCUAACUACGUGCCAGCAGCCGCGGUAAUACGUAGGUCCCGAGCGUUGUCCGGAUUUAUUGGGCGUAAAGCGAGCGCAGGCGGUUAGAUAAGUCUGAAGUUAAAGGCUGUGGCUUAACCAUAGUACGCUUUGGAAACUGUUUAACUUGAGUGCAAGAGGGGAGAGUGGAAUUCCAUGUGUAGCGGUGAAAUGCGUAGAUAUAUGGAGGAACACCGGUGGCGAAAGCGGCUCUCUGGCUUGUAACUGACGCUGAGGCUCGAAAGCGUGGGGAGCAAACAGGAUUAGAUACCCUGGUAGUCCACGCCGUAAACGAUGAGUGCUAGGUGUUAGACCCUUUCCGGGGUUUAGUGCCGCAGCUAACGCAUUAAGCACUCCGCCUGGGGAGUACGACCGCAAGGUUG
rnacentral:rRNA from 1 species